UGCCUGCCCGGUGACUUGAAAGGUUAAACGGCCGCGGUAUUUUUGACUGUGCGAAGGUAGCAUAAUCAUUUGCUCUUUAAUUGGGGGCUGGAAUGAAUGGCAAGACAGGAGCUAGGCUGUCUCUUCUUUAAUCUCUUGAAUCUUAUAUUACUGUGAAGAAGCGGUAAUAUGACCGUAAGACGAGAAGACCCUGUUGAGCUUUAUAUUGGUAGUUUUUUAUGUGGAGAAAGUUUUAAGAGUAAGUAUUAGUCUAAUUAGGAUUAAAUAAAGUCAGGUUAUCUUUUAAUAAUAUAUGAAAAGUUGUUAGAUAUUUGGUUGGGGCAACAGUGGAGAAGAAUAAUCCUCCGCUAAAUAAAAAGUAAAAGGUAUUGUUUUGUUGUAAUAAAGAAGUUAUUUUAUAGAUCCAUUAAUAAUGAUUAAAAGAAUAAGUUACCACAGGGGUAACAGCGUUAUUUCCUUGGAGAGUUCGUAUUGAUAAGGGAGUUUGCGACC
rnacentral:rRNA from 1 species